GCUGCCUAAACGACUUUGUGUUUCCCCCCCUUCGUGUUUUCCUUCCUAAACCCUAAGCGCCUAAACGCCUUCUCGAACCCUAAGUGGCAAAACACAUCUCCGUCCAACCUACGAACUCUUCGCCCAUCUCUCGCUUUCUGCAUCCUCUUCUUCUCCAUUUGUCUUGUGGUCAUCCAGUUCCAAGACUAAUUCUCCAUGGAGUCCUUGAAGGCAUAUGCCUUCAUGAAGAGCAGUAGGGGGAGGAGAGUGGCGACGAUGGAGGAAUCGAAGAAAUGAAAGUUCAAAGAAGAUUUCAUCAAUAGAUGUGUUUCUGAUCUCGAUUCUGCCUCUCAGGUCCAUUUCCUUCUUGACCCUGUCAAAAAAGACCAGCUCAUUGAUCUCUAGCACAAUAGCUCGAGAAGAGAAAUGCCAACGCCGGCAGUAGCAAAGACCCAGCCCAAGUGGUGGCACUGCCAGCACCGACAGCUAAGCAGGCCAAGAAGAUGGUGAGGAAUACGGAAGAUGCUGAUUUGGGGAAAAAGAAGGUGACCUUGUUCUUUGGCUCGUUGACCGGCACCACCGAGAGGUUCACGGAGGUUAGGUUUCUGAGCUUGUGAUCCUUUCUCACUCCACAUUCCUUGAAACUAGAGAUGUAAUUUCCUUAUAUUUCGUCUAAGAAUUGAUUUUUGAGCAAACCUUGGCGGACAAGGUCAAUGCGAGGUACAAGAAGGUCGUCUCCAAAGUCAUCGAUUUGGAAAUCUUGGUCUUUGUGGUUAUUGGCUAAGCUCUCCUUGCCACUUCCAUCCACUACAUAGAGGAUCGUUGAGGAGUUCUUCCAGAUCUUCAGGAGUUCAUCUUCAUCAGAAAUCGUCAUUCACCAAAGCUAGCGCACCAUCUCACAAAUUUCAGACAGGAUCAAGUGACAAAACUACAGCUAGAGAAAUAAUGAAAAAAAAAAUUGGCGUUCCUACUAUACCAAGAACUGAUGGACUCGUGCAGGUUCUAACAACAUGCCCUUUGAGUUAUGAAACUAGGUUUACUGAACUCUCGGCGAGCGAUUAUUAGUUGUUAUAGAUGGAUUUGACAAACUUCUGUGAUACUGUCGAUAAUAGCUAUUGUGAUAUUUUAUAUGUAGAGCGGCGUAUGUAUAUUCUCCCUUGGUGAUAAUGAGAGAUUAUCUUUUAUAA